rnacentral:tRNA from 1 species
GGGGAAGUAGCAAGGCCGGAGAGCAGCCUUGUGAUAAUAGGAAAGAAUGCCGGUUCAACUCCGGCCUUUCCCG